CUUCGGGGGCAGAGUGACAGGUGGUGCAUGGUUGUCGUCAGCUCGUGUCGUGAGAUGUUGGGUUAAGUCCCGCAACGAGCGCAACCCUUGAUCUUAGUUGCCAGCAUUCAGUUGGGCACUCUAAGGUGACUGCCGGUGACAAACCGGAGGAAGGUGGGGAUGACGUCAAAUCAUCAUGCCCCUUAUGACCUGGGCUACACACGUGCUACAAUGGGCAGAACAAAGGGCAGCGAAGCCGCGAGGCUAAGCCAAUCCCACAAAUCUGUUCUCAGUUCGGAUCGCAGUCUGCAACUCGACUGCGUGAAGCUGGAAUCGCUAGUAAUCGCGGAUCAGCAUGCCGCGGUGAAUACGUUCCCGGGCCUUGUACACACCGCCCGUCACACCACGAGAGUUUGUAACACCCGAAG
rnacentral:rRNA from 1 species